UGCCAAAUUCAAAGGAAAGCACGGAGAGGCC
rnacentral:piRNA from 1 species